rnacentral:rRNA from 1 species
CCGAUAGCGUAUAUUAAAUUAGAGUGUUUAAAGCAGGCACACGCUUGAAUACAUUAGCAUGGAAUAAUGAAAUAGGACGUUUUGAUCUUAUUUUGUUGGUUUCUAAGAUCGACGUAAUGAUUAAUAGGGAUAGUUGGGGGCAUUAGUAUUCAAUUGUCAGAGGUGAAAUUCUUGGAUUUAUUGAAGACUAACUACUGCGAAAGCAUUUGCCAAGGAUGUUUUCAUUAACCAAGAACGAAAGUUAGGGGAUCGAAGACGAUCAGAUACCGUCGUAGUCUUAACCAUAAACUAUGCCGACUAGGGAUCGGAUGAUGUUAAUUUUUUAAUGACUCAUUCGGCGCCUUACG